CAGGCCCAAUGGAAGCAAGAGUUCUUUUCCAAAGUUAAGUCUGCAAUCCUGGCUGAUCAUCGGCAUCCUUCAAGGGGUCCUGUCAAGGCAUCGAGGCUGCUGUCUGUAUCUGAAGCCAAUGUUUGCUCUGUUGACAUGGAUGAAAUGUCAUUGAUAGAUGAUGACUGGGAAGGACUGGUGUUGCUAUUCACUGCUGCAUCUGAGGGCUGAUCUUUUACCACACCAUUCUUGCUUCUUUCUUCCCAAUCCAUUACUUCUUUGUAUAUUAAUUCUUUCCAUUCUUCAAUUGCAUGUUCUCUCUCUUCCAGUUGUGCAUCAUAAAUUUGAGGUGGAGGCUACAAAGAGAAGUCUGCAUGUUACCCAUUACAUAGCAGGCAAAACUAAAUAUGAUCAUUUUCUUAGGCAAUUGUUACCUUCCUCUGGCAAUCUAUUCCCUACAUCUCCGAUUUACAUUCAUUUUACAUCUCCAGAAUUUAG
rnacentral:lncRNA from 1 species